GACGAGGGAUCCUAGCGUUGUUCGGAAUUAUUGGGCGUAAAGCGGGUGUAGGCGGGCUUAUAAGUCAGGUGUGAAAUCCCAGGGCUCAACCCUGGAAGUGCACUUGAUACUGUAAGUCUUGAAUGUGGUAGAGGUUACUGGAAUUCCUGGUGUAGUGGUGAAAUACGUAGAUAUCAGGAGGAACACCGGUGGCGAAGGCGGCCAUCUGGACCGAUACUGACGCUGAGGCGCGAAAGCGUGGGGGAGCAAAACAGG
rnacentral:rRNA from 1 species